UGGGGAAUAUUGGACAAUGGGCGAAAGCCUGAUCCAGCCAUGCCGCGUGUGUGAAGAAGGUCUUCGGGUUGUAAAGCACUUUAAGUUGGGAGGAAGGGCAUUAACCUAAUACGUUAGUGUCUUGACGUUACCGACAGAAUAAGCACCGGCUAACUCUGUGCCAGCAGCCGCGGUAAUACAGAGGGUGCAAGCGUUAAUCGGAAUUACUGGGCGUAAAGCGCGCGUAGGUGGUUUGUUAAGUUGAAUGUGAAAUCCCCGGGCUCAACCUGGGAACUGCAUCCAAAACUGGCAAGCUAGAGUAUGGUAGAGGGUAGUGGAAUUUCCUGUGUAGCGGUGGAAUGCGUAGAUAUAGGAAGGAACACCAGUGGCAAGGCGACUACCUGGACUGGAUACUGACAUG
rnacentral:rRNA from 1 species